rnacentral:rRNA from 1 species
ACAGCAGUCGCCGCGGUAAUACGGAAGGUCCAGGCGUUAUCCGGAUUUAUUGGGUUUAAAGGGAGUGUAGGCGGUCUGUUAAGCGUGUUGUGAAAUUUAGGUGCUCAACAUUUAACUCGCAGCGCGAACUGGCGGACUUGAGUGCACGCAACGUAUGCGGAAUUCAUGGUGUAGCGGUGAAAUGCUUAGAUAUCAUGACGAACUCCGAUUGCGAAGGCAGCGUACGGGAGUGUUACUGACGCUUAAGCUCGAAGGUGCGGGUAUCGAACAGGAUUAGAUACCCGCGUAGUCCCUGUCUCUUAUAC